UACGGAGGGUGCAAGCGUUAUCCGGAUUUACUGGGUUUAAAGGGUGCGUAGGUGGGUCUGUAAGUCAGUGGUGAAAUCUCCGAGCUUAACUCGGAAACUGCCAUUGAUACUAUAGGUCUUGAAUUAUCUGGAGGUAAGCGGAAUAUGUCAUGUAGCGGUGAAAUGCUUAGAUAUGACACAGAACACCGAUUGCGAAGGCAGCUCACUAAACUGUAACUGACGCUGAGGCACGAAAGCGUGGGGAGCGAACAGG
rnacentral:rRNA from 1 species